rnacentral:rRNA from 1 species
CGGAGUUAGUGGCGGACGGGUGAGUAACACGUGGGAACGUGCCUUUAGGUUCGGAAUAACUCAGGGAAACUUGUGCUAAUACCGAAUGUGCCCUUCGGGGGAAAGAUUUAUCGCCUUUAGAGCGGCCCGCGUCUGAUUAGCUAGUUGGUGAGGUAAAGGCUCACCAAGGCGACGAUCAGUAGCUGGUCUGAGAGGAUGAUCAGCCACAUUGGGACUGAGACACGGCCCAAACUCCUACGGGAGGCAGCAGUGGGGAAUCUUGCGCAAUGGGCGAAAGCCUGACGCAGCCAUGCCGCGUGAAUGAUGAAGGUCUUAGGAUUGUAAAAUUCUUUCAGUAGGGACGAUAAUGACGGUACCUACAGAAGAAGCCCCGGCUAACUUCGUGCCAGCAGCCGCGGUAAUACGAAGGGGGCUAGCGUUGCUCGGAAUUACUGGGCGUAAAGGGAGCGUAGGCGGACAUUUAAGUCAGGGGUGAAAUCCCGGGGCUCAACCUCGGAAUUGCCUUUGAUACUGGGUGUCUUGAGUAUGAGAGAGGUAUGUGGAACUCCGAGUGUAGAGGUGAAAUUCGUAGAUAUUCGGAAGAACACCAGUGGCGAAGGCGACAUACUGGCUCAUUACUGACGCUGAGGCUCGAAAGCGUGGGGAGCAAACAGGAUUAGAUACCCUGGUAGUCCACGCCGUAAACGAUGAUUGCUAGUUGUCGGGAUGCAUGCAUUUCGGUGACGCANCUAACGCAUUAAGCAAUCCGCCUGGGGAGUACGGUCGCAAGAUUAA